GAGCUGUCGGCACAGAGCCCGACAUGGGGCUCGAACCCACGAACCGUGAGAUCAUGACCUGAGCCGAGCUCGGAUGCUCAACCGACUGAGCCACCCAGGUGCCCCUUGGCUAUCACUGUUUAGCAUCUACGACACUAGAUACUACCCUAAGAACUUUCCAUGUGUUGUCCUACUUUAUCUUCCCAACAACCCGAUCUGAUUGUAUUUUUAUCCAUACUUUAUAGAUGAAGAAAUGGAGGUUAGACAGUAAGUUGCCUUGGCUCACAUAGCCAGUAGCAGACUGAGCAAGGCCAGCCUCUGACUCUAAGUUUGGGCCUUAGACUAGUUUAUGAUGAGCAAGGUAAAGCCUGUAUUAUUCACCAAUACGCCCUUUUAAUGAAAAAUGGGUUCAAUUUUUAUCAUUUUAUCUGUGCUAUGAUUGUGUUUAUUUAACUCCAAUUUAAUAUGUGAUCUCUAACAUAAUAAUAAUACCUGCAUUUAUAUUAACUAUAUAAUAAAAAGUAAAAAUGGUCUCUAAUGGCAAAUGCAUAAUUGGGGGUUGCUAUUUUGCAUGUCUUGUCUUUUGACUUACUUUUCUGAUCGUUCUUUGAUUGUGUUUUCUAAAGCUAUCAGCUGGUGACAUUUUGGAAAUUAAAAACAAAAAAGAAAAAAGAAAAAGAAAUCCAGACUGGUUCUUUACCAUGGAUUGUUUCAGAAGCACUGAUCCUCAGUCCUAUGUCUUGCUGGCUUAAGUACUUGAAGAUGUCAAUAGGAUAGAACCAGAGUUAGGAGCCAGUGUGUAUUUCGGUGCCCUGUUGUCUCGAUUGUUUCAAACAGGUGAUUUGUAUUUCUGAAAAGCUCCUAUUGAACGAGAGCCAUCUUGAGAAAGCCCCUUUCUCCCAAGGAAUGCCCGAGAACGAUUCUUUACGCUGUCUCUACCCAGCCCUCUCUGUCGCUUCAGACUCGGCGUCUCCAGUGGAUCUCAGAGGCCAGAAUUUACUGCAGGGAAAUACCAAGCAAUGUCUGAACUUUCGGCUGGGGAAAAGUCUUUUAUUGGAGCAGGUAACGUCUCAUCUCGAGAUGCCACGCUUCCACAUUUGGAAAAAGAAAAUUCUCAGCUUGAGCGAAACAGUGAAUCGUGCAGUUGUUAACAACGUUCGUGAAACUGUUUAUUUUAGGGGUGCCUGGGUGGCUCAGUCCAGCCUUAUUUAGCUCAUGGAAAAAUAAUGGGGAAAAAAAUCCAAAUAUUUAACAAUAGGAGAAUUUUUAGUAAGCCAGCUCUGUGGGUAUAGUGAAAUACUGCAUUAUCUUUAGAAAGGAGAAGGCAGACUAUAUCAGCAGAUAACAGUGGUUCUACCAGAGUAUGUGUAAAUGACAACAGAGCAAAUGGGAUAUAUGUUUGAACCACAACUGAAUAAAAAUACAUUCACGUGUUUGGAGCAAGAAUUGGAAUUACGCCAGAUGGAACUUACUGUGUUUUUCUUAUCCGUAAGGUUAUGAUUAAAAAAAGAUCGAAAAGUAUGUUUUUAUGUGUGCUUUUAAGAAAAUCACAGAAACGGAUAGCUAGUUUAUGCAAAUUUAGGAACUUUCUUAAAAUAACUGUCUUAAAAUAAUGGUAAUAGGGAGUACGUAAAAAUGUUUAAAAGGGGCUGUUUGAAAGAGCCACCUGGAUCAGGGGCCUGCACCCUAUGGCCCAGGCCAAGUCCAGCCUGCUGCCUGUUUUUGUAAAUACAGAUUUAUCGCCUACGGCCACAUCCAUUUGUUGAGGCCCUACGACUCUUCCCGCUACAAGGGCAAAGUUGAGUGUUUGCAACAGAGACCGGUUGGCCUGAAACUGUAACAUAUUUACCAUGUGGCCUUCACAGGAACAGCAGCGACUCCUAACCUAGAGAAUCACUUGAGGAGACCUGAAUUAGAACCUAUUGGCGUUCCUGGGAUUUCCACUUAACAGAUAUAGGGGCGCCUGGGGGGCGGGGCUCAGUUGGUUAAGUGUCCCGCUGACUGCGGCUCAGGUCAUGAUUUCGGGUAGGUUCUGUAGCCCCAGGCUGAGCUCCGGGCUGACAGCUCAGGGCCUGGAGCCUGCUUCGGAUUCUGUAUCUCCCUCUCUUUCUCUGCCUCUCCCCGGCUAAUGCGCUCUCUCUCUCUCUCUCUCAAAAAUGAAGGUGAAAAAAUUUUUAAAUAACAGAUAUAAAGGAAAGGCACAAAACUGCUCCAAAUUGCUUAGUUCUAGGUGUGCAAAGAAAUGCAUUUGAUUGAUUACAGGCCCGAGAGACUUUGGGAAACAAGCGGGACACGACUUUCAGAGCUGAGACAUUUUCAGAGCUGGGUUUUUGCUUCUAAACAAAGCAGUGAACCAUAAGCGUUGCAGAGCUAGGCAGGACCUGCGUGCGGGUAAAAGUGGAUGAACAGAAUCUUGAGGACGGUCUGGGUCACCUGGGCCCGGCAAGGCUCCCGGAGGACAUGUGUCUGCAAGGCUCUCCCGGAGGAAGCCAUCGGCCCAGGGACGCCCAGUGUUGCUAUGGCAACAUCAAAGGAGGAAAGAAAAACUUGGCCUACGGAUUUCCUGUAGGUGUCAGAGCAAGAACGAGUCCUAGGAGACACGAAUAAGCAGUAAGCAGGGGGACCUGCAAAUUCUACCUCUGUGUUUUCUGCUGUGUCAUCUGAGCCCUCCCACCCCACCUCCCUCACCCCUGCACAGCCGCGGGGUUUGGCCUUGGGCCGCGGGGCCGCGGUUUGUUCCGAAAUGGAUUUAUACCAUUUAUCCUGGGACAGGCCAUCAGAAGCCUCACACCUGACCGUCCCUUUGUCCUGGGGUCUUAGAAACUGUGUCAGGUUCCUUCCAGGGCAACAGUCAACUCUGUUUUGAGGUCACCUCCGCAGAUACAAUGUUACUCUCUUGUGAGAGAAAGGAAGUCCAUCCAUUUAGGAGUUGGGGGAGAAGACUGGUGGCUUUGAGCUUCUGCUGACUUGGGACAAAAGGCACUUUCUGGGCUCUUCGUUCUCACUGAUCACCCCUGCACCGGCUCACGUGUGUAUUGGUAACACACCAGAAUAUUCUAGAAGACUCUCUAUACACUAUAUACUUAACUAUGCACCGUGGACUUGCUACAUAGGAAACCACCGGGCGCCUACACAUGCAGGCACGCGUGCACACACACACACACACACACACACACACACACACUGUGGCUGAUAGCGGCCCCUGAAAACACAGCACUGACUGACAAGAGAGGAAGAGAAGUGCCUAAUAGUUGUGUUCCCACAGCAUGGGCGGGGUCUGGCGGGGCAGAGUCUCUGGCCGGACUGUGUGGGGCGAGGGGGCUCGUGCGUGUCCCUCAGAUGGCACUACCCACGUCCGCUCACCUCUCCUCCUCCCCGUCCUCUGGUGCCCACCUUUCCUAGGCGCUGAGAGGACUCACAAGCCAAAGGAGACCGCGCUCUGAGGCCUGCUGCCCGCACCCGUCUUCAGGCUCCAGAACAUUCAGAGUAACAAAGGCAAAGUGAGGAAGCCCAGCCUGCCUGCUGGUGGGGGGGCCGUGGCUCUGCUUCCCUUUUUCUCUUUUCUUUCACACCCCCUCUGAAGAGCGGCAGAGGCUGGGAGAGCCACCGCUGCACCAGAUCGAGGAGGUCACCAGGGAGGGCCCAUCCCUGGAGCAGAUCAAGCUCAAGAGAGGAGCCUGGGUGAGGGGGACAGGAGGCGACAGCCAGACGGUGAGAGCCGCUGGGCCGAUGAAGGCGGGGCUGGUCCGGGGGCCAAACUCUGAAGUCAAGCUUAUUCGGGGCCCUCACCUUUCUUAAGCGCCCCAGUGUUCCCAAGAUGGCUUCCACUGGCCUGCCCUCUGGAUCCAGACCUUUCUCUCUCAUUCUCUGCCUUCAAAAGGUACCUGUUCUGAGGUAAACUUCACCUGUUUUUUCCCUUUCUCCUUCUCAGCUUCUGCCUCUUUCUCUGAAAAAAAAAAAAAUCUGUGCUGAGGCUUUAACGAGUGAUAACGAAUUAAUGAGUAAACUUUCUCAAAUAAAAUAUUUACAUUUUUGAAAGGAGCCAAAGCAAAGGUAGAAUUUCAAAGGAAGCUCCUAAAAUCACCUUCCGGCCACCUGUGUGUCCCCCAGAACGGACCCAUCACCGUGACAUCAAGUCAGUGGGGACCCCCACUCUAUGCCUGGCGCCCUGAAGCUCCCAUGUUGAUGACCCCCAGAGAAGGUCUGAAGGUCUGAAGGUCUUUUCUUCGCAAGGGAAUUUGCCACCUGUUUGUGGCGGUCUCUGAAUUCUGUCGGGCGGCUUCUUCGUCAAAAGCACGCGUGGUUCCUCAAUAGCCUGGGUUGCCUCUCUAAAGAUAUUCCUGAUUAAAAUCACACUUGUGCCAUGCACUGUGUAAGGAUACAAAAAUAGAAGAUGACAUUUUGGAAGUGCAUACUGGGGAUGGUUGCACAACGUCGUGAAUGGAAUUAAUGCCGCUGCGUGAUAGAUUUUAAAAUGGCUAAACUGGAAACGUUUGUUACGUGGAUUCUACUGCAAUAAUACAAAUGUUUUACCAAAAAAAAAAAAAAAACACAACGCCAAACAACCACACUGAGUAAGAUAGUCCUGGUCCUCGGGUUCCUCACGGUCUAGUUGGGAGGACCAAAACGUGCAAACAAAGGUGUGAUUGGUGAGAAGGUAGGAUAUAAAAAGGGAUGCAAAGGAGGAGGCUGUGAAUGAAAUGUAACCUUUUAUUUGCUUUUGUGCGUUCUGUGUUUUAGUGGCAGUGUUAGGGGAGCCCGCUAGACCCGAGGCUUCCGUGAUGAGCAAUGCUACUCCAGAAGCCAAAGGCAUAGGCUCCCCUCAAAUGCUGGAUUCCGCAACAACGCGGGUCCUAACAUUGGACCCGCGGGAGAAACUGUGCCUAGUGGAGUCCUAAGUCCAGUUGUUGUCUCCACUGCCAUUAACUCCUCCUACCCAGGGCCCGGAAAGGAUGAGACCGGAGAGGCACGUAGGGUGUGAAACCGAAGGAGCCACUUAUGCUCAUGGUCAAGUGCCGACAUGGGAAGCAGCGACCUCCGUAACAUGUCCGCAUGUCCACAGACCCAUGGAUCUUGUACAUCUUUGCAUCUCCUAAGACCAAUAUCAAGUGGAGCAAAGAGACAGCACGCGGCAAAUGGUAGCAUGCUUUGGCAAGCAUUUAAAAAAUAAAUGAAUUUAUUUAUUCCA